UACAGAAUAUCUUGUGCUUGUAAAGUAGUUAACGAAGAUACGAAAUUUAUUCUCUAUAGAAAGGAAACGUUAUUUUCGAGAGAUAGAUCGAAACUUUCGCGCGUUUCUCGCGAGAAUAAUAUGUCUCAUAGAAUCAACGUGCGAAUCGUUCGAGCGAAAUUAAUGGCGAGGUUAUGAAAUGUGAUGAAUUUUAAACAGCAUGAAUCCGAAUUUGAUCGAAAUAUAUUAGCUGAGAGAAACAAAGUUGAAUCAAAGUUUCUAAUGAGAAGUCUUGACUCUGUUCGUAUUCGGAUUUCUCCUUGAAAAUAUAAAAUCGCUCGACAAGUCAGAAGUUAAUUACGGAAUCCUAACCUUCAGGUUAUUAUAACAAUUUUCUGAUCCUCAAAAAUGAAUCUUGAAAUGAAAGUGAGUAUUUUUGGAUUAUUUGUCAAAGUAUUCUAAUUACUUGUUGGACAACACGAUAAUGAGGAUAUUGGUAGUUCGAAAACGUUUAACCUUACUUCUAUAAUAUAUUGACUCGAAAAGUGAUAAUGAUACAAGUAUUGAUAAUGUGUAUCUUAAGAUUUUAUUUUAUUUCACACAUUUCUAACACAUGUUAAAACUCUUUAAAGAAUUCAGACUUAAACUUUGUUAUAUAUAUUCAUUUAAUUUACAACUGGUAAGUAAUAUAUUUAAUAUUCCUUUGAUUUGUAUUAGUUUUAAGUUUUGCUUAACAAUUUCAAUACAGCAUAGAACAAAUUGACCAUGUUACAGGAGAAUUGACAAUAUUAAUUCACUCUUUGAAUCGUGUACUCCUCAUUGACAUGAUUCCUCAAUUGCGAAAGAGAGCGAGACUAAACGCGAGAAACUAAAUUCGUGAAGUAGAGAUUCUGCAUUCGAUGAAAGGAGACUUCGACUUCUAUGGUGGCGAUAGUAGAAAUCAAGCCUGAUCAACGGGUUCUGAUGAGAAAUCACAAGACCUAAGUCUGGUGCUUCGGAUUUCUCCGCGGAAAUGUAAAGUAGCAGGUAAUCAAAAAAUUACUCGAAAAGGAAAUAUAUAUAAAUGAUACGUUUUUUGUAUGCGAAUUUUCAAAAAUGAAAGAACAUAUCAAAAUUUAAUACUUUUUUAAUAAUUGUUGUUCAUUCACAACCGAGCAAUGAAACAAAUAAGCAUCUUAUAUUGAACGUCUAUAGAAGAAAAUAUAAUGAAUAGAAAUAGAAAAUUAUUUUGAUAGAAAAUGAUUAAUUAUGAAAUGAGAGAGUUUGAAAGCAGUUAAUGAACAUAUGAAAAAAUAAAGAACGUGAAUUACUAAUUGAAGGAAAAAUUACUUCUGGUAGAGAAAUUAUGUAAUAUAAACUUCUGUUAUAUGAACAAUUAUACGAUUAUAUGAACGUGUUUGUUACCCAAUAUAUAAAUGAAAAGUUCAACUAUAAAUAUACAAAUAAUAAAACUUAUAUCUCAUGAUUGAUAUUACUUCGUAAGAUUAGCUGUGAGAAAUGGUUAUGCAAUUAUGUACGCAGUGUUGUUCAAUUUAUCGUGGUUUCCCGCGACUCGAAUCGAAAGGCAGUAGCUUCCGUAAGAGAGGAAGGCAAAUCUUGCCGCGGUGCGAGUUUUUUGCCAAAUUAAAGUCGUUAGAGGAUAAACGAGAGACUUGCUGGAACAGCCAAGUGGCAAGAAAUCCUCUUCGUGGAGGGUCUAAUCGCAAGGCGUGCGUUGAAGCUCGCGAUCCUACCGCCAUCUUCCAAGAAGGAAACGAAAAGAACAGAAUAUCUCGAAGAAAGCAAUUUCUCAGGACGCGAAAACGUAGCGGGAUCCAUUCGUCAAAGUUGAAGGCAACGACAUCGUCGAACAACGGUUCGAAUUUACGAGCUCCACGAAGCGCGAAUAGCGUCAAAGUUGCAGCUCGACGCGCCACCAAGGUAUACCGAGCAGGAAACUGGACUGUUCCACUGCUGAGCUUCUCCGGUUGAAGAAAUUCUUGGACACUUCCUGCUCUUCGAUCUCCGCGACUGAUAUGUGUUUCACGGACCACGUUAACCUUGAGGCCAUCCCGAGUUAAUGAGAAAACCGGAGAAGGAACGUUCGGUUUUACAGUUUUCGCAGAUUGAUUAGAGAUCCAAGCACAGAUCGUAAUUAUUAUCAAGACAACAAGAAAACAAUUAUAUUUUUUUGUUGGGAAGGAUAAGUGAUAAUUGAAAAUGUUAUAUAGGGAUGCUAUAAAAGCAAAGAAUGGAUGAAAUCAAGCAUCACUGUUCAGAAAACAAUAUCUUUUUCACUCGUUUCAUACGGUAGAGAUAAUUUAACCUAACUAAGCACAAUAUUUAAGCAUAAUAUUUAAGCAUAAUCCAUCAUUUUAUAUUAAUUCUUAAACUCGCAAUAUUCAAGUUUUUCAUUUUUCUUCUUUUUUUUUCUCUUUUUUAGAAAUUUUGCAAUGCCUAUACACAAACGGCCAUUCAUUCAUCAAGGACCAUUGUGGAAAUUUUCGUUUGCGCUUGAUUUUGUGAACACAAGGUUUAAUAUUUAAAGACGAGGGAAUACUUUCACUAUGUUUGUUUCUCGUAAGUAGCGGCUAUGUUAUUAUUUCACCGACGAGCCUUUGGCAUCCGCGUGAGAGUUAAAGCGUACUUAGGACCUCGUUCGAUCCCGUUGCUCUCGUCGAAAAAGCGAGAACUGGUGUCGACGAUCUCCUCCUCGGUCUACGAUGACCCGCUGAAUCUUUGGUUUCACGAACGAUCCAGUUACCGAGGAAUCGAGCCUCGUUCCCUUGUCUCGCAUCGGGGAAUAAAGUUCUAACCGAGGCUGAACGCGCUAGUGCCGUCAACUCCAUAGAAAGUUUCAUACACACUUUCACCGUUGGUGGAUCGGCGCGAAGCGCGUCAGGGUGUCUUGGUUUGGAGCUUUUACGGUUUCGAGAAGAAGGCAAACGCGAAUAUCGAGCUCCCGGUGUCCCCUUUGCGGUACGUUUCGUCUCCGUGCACUGGUAGUUUCGAAUGCUUCCCACGACCGAGGAUCAACCACAAACUUUGAAACGGGAGGGGUUGGUGUUCAAGAUCAACGACCCAAGGUCAAGAGGAGAGGUAGGGGAGUCGAGCAGAGCAUCAAGUGCUCGUUGCCCUCUGGUGUAGCGUGGCGGACCAGGAAAUCGGUGCCAACACCGGGAUCAGAGAGUCUGCAACGUCGUGCAACACAACCUUGUGUAUCCAUCUCGUCCUUUAAGGCAUCCAUUAGCUUCCUAACUGCUAAACACACCGCUCGGUCCGACGACCCCGUCCUGCUUCCUACCCACCGCACCGUCCGGCCUACGAGGAACCUCUUCUUCCACCUCUUCCCGAGAGGUUGCCUUUUUUAUUUUCCCUUCCUAUCCUCUUCCAUCCUUCUGCCAUCUCUUCCUCUACUCUUUCGUUUCCUUCUCCUUCUUCUCUACCCUCCACCAUCGUCCCCUUCGUCCCGAUACCGACGUUCGAGGGUCAUCGACAUCCGCGGCCGGAGACAUUGUACGCAACGUUGUUGCUCGGUUAUCGUGGUUGGCCGCGCACCUUGCGCGCGUUAACUUCGUCCCUCCUCGCGACACAUCCAGCAACACGGAGCCAGGAAUAUGUAUACGGCAAAACGUGCUAAUAUGCCGAGAGAACAAGAAAUUUCGCAACAAAGGAUCGUAGAAUGUAACUGGAGCGAAGUUGCACAAUGGAUUUGCAUCGUGGAGAGAGCAGUGAGACGGUCAGCCUAACUACCUAUCCGUUAAUUUCCUUAAUUGCCAGUCGGGUGUAAUUAACGACGCUCCGAUUUCCAUGAUAUACCCUCUAAUGAGAUAAAUUUAACCCUCGCGGGGAGAAUUAAUCGCGUGCUCCUCUCGACAGGCCAACUCGAGUUGGGGGUCUCAAGAUGGAGCAGGAUGCGUUUCGUGGAAACGACACUUGGAAAGACCAGUCGGUGACGCAUCCAUCGUCUUUCCCGGCCGAGCUAGAAGAGGGUCGAGUCAUCGAAGAAGCGAAAAAUCAUCUCGGCGAGCGUGAACGCGGUCAACAGAAACGCAUUAUUGCGCGAGCGAAGCCGACACGUUUGCAGUCUUCUCGUCGAUUGUCGCUCGUUAACGCCAUUGUGCCUUGGGGGGAGGGGACUUGGCGAGCGCACGCGUUACGCAAUAUACACGCACUUGAUACGGGCUGCGGCCGUCCAGGAUGAACCGAGAAAAAUACCGAGUGGAAUAUCGCGUCUCUCCGCCGUUGAAUAAGCGAGAAGAAAAUAUAUAUCGAUGCUUGUUUAAUUGCGUUCUUGGGAAGUUUUUUUAAACGGAUAUUAUUUAUUAAUUCCAAGUUCCACCUCAAGUUCAAGGCCGUACGAAAAGGUAAUGUCGCGAGGGAGCGGAUUUCGGGGGCAUCUCGUAGGGGAAAAUACUCGGUCGAUACGCCAUGUUCGUAUAUAUAUUUUUACAAUUUGUACGCGGCUGCAUUCCCGCAAAACCGCUUUGAAACGUUUCAUUCGAAAUCUUUCUGCGGUCGAGGACCGCAGAAAUUUUUGCCCCUACGCCGAUUGCGACAUUAACCACGACGAUGAUUCUCGAUUCUCCUAGGCUUCGUUUCGACGAGGGAGAUCGCGUGAAAUUUCGUUAAAUUAAUUACGUCACUAUCGUUCUUUUUCGCAUCUUUGUGUGCACGAAACUUUCACACCAAUCGUUUGUACUCGCCACAAACGUAAACGCAACUUUUGAAAGAGAUUCAAGUUUGAAAGUAAGAUCACGUGAAAUGAAUGAAAAUCCUUUUUAAUCGUGGAAUUGAUUUGUUGUAUAAAUGAGGAACAACACUUGAUAGAAUUUGUACGAAAUUACAGUAAAUUCUAUGAUUUCAGUCGCACAAAGGGAAAUCGUGGCUCGAAAAUAGUGGAUGGAGAGAAAAAAACUUGGAAAUUUUGAACCGAAUAGCUGAUUCUUCUUCCCAAAGAUUCAUUGGGUAAGUUCAAAAAUGUAUAAAAAAAAUUCAAAGAAUACAAUUUUAAUAAAAUCUGAAUUUACAGUUUUUUGCAUCAACAUCUUCAAUUCUAGAUUGUGACUGAUUUAACUAUUUGUGUCUUUGACCAUCAGUAAGGAUCAACCUUAAUUAUUGCAAUCCUCACAUUGCAGGCCAAUAGUUUUUAUUGCUAACUAUGCCCAGUGGUCAGCAGGUAUAUUUCCAGCAGGUAUGUUUACCAACAACAAUGAAAACCGUGAAGAAUCCGGCCACCGAUGCCGUAACAGAGAACACAGAUAAUUCUCAUGAUUCGUAAGUAAGUGUUAAAAGGACAAAAGAGAGCGCGUUAGGUGAAUUCAUCGAGUGAAAAGAAAAAGAAGAAGAAGAAAAAAAGAAAUGGAAUAGAAAGGAGAAGAGGAGGACCGGUCGACUCGAUCGUUCGUCUCGACCGCACGCCAACUUCCUGCUGUCAAUCGUUGAAAUAUGGCCGAUGCGGACCGACCAGUUUGGUUCAUUUCAAAACUUCCCAUCGACGACCGCAAAUAAACCAAGCCACGGAUCCCUCUUUGAUGUUUUGCGAAAAUAAAGCGGACGUUUCCUCUCAUUCGAAUCGAGCAACAUUGUAACGAAGACUAUUGUGAUUAUUCGUAAACUAUUCGACCGAGUUCGACGAUCACCGCGGUGAUUUGAAAAAGAGAAAAGGAAUAUAUAUAUAUAUAUGUGUAAUGUAUAACGGGGUGGAGGAAGACAAGAAUUGCGCGGCACGUCGAAAGAAAUUACGAGAGGCAGAGGAGGGGUCGAAAAAUCCGUUGUUGGUAUGGAAGCAUCGGUUUCUUCGGGGAUCCGGAUUUAGCCACGGAACGCCACGAAAUGCCAAUAAGAGGAUACUUUGGUCGUUGUCGGAAUGAAUGCUCGUCACGAACGAGCCAAAGGAUGGGCGACUUCCAAAUUUUGCGAAGAAGUAAAAAAAAGUGGCCGGAGAAGGGCUCGGCGAAGGCGCUUGGCGAAUAGCGAUGGGAUCGAACGUAUCGCGAGUCGAUUUGAACAAGAGUUUGUUGAUAAAGUUAUGAUAUUCCGAGAUUCGAAACUUAUCAUAUAUACAGUCUUUUUCAUUGGAUCUACGAGUAUGCAUUUACCGGCAAAACUAAAUGCACAAUUCAUCCCAUCACUCACAUUGGCGAGGGAGCGAGUGUACGAAAAGGAGGAAGCACUCGGGCAAGGAGGAGACACCAACUCCCUUGACGUCCUUCGUCGGUCGCCACAGUUUGCUGACCCGGUUCGAAAAGAGCAAAAAUCGAUGUCGAUUCGAGGAGGAAGGGAAAGAGCGGUGGCCAAAAUCGACCAACCGGUUGACCACUGCUACGUAUACCCAAAACUCGCUUCGCGGUAAUCUCGUAGACUAUUAAUACCGCCUUUCCGUGCCGCCUUUGAACCGAACGGAACUAAAACUACCGGUACACUGCACGCUCGAUGCAUCCGGUCUGAACGCGUGUAUCGAUCGCAGUUAAGGAUCCAUCGUUCUAUCGAUGCCUACCGUCGAUGAAUUACAAUUAACCGUGGAACGUGUUACGGACUUCCAUUCACUCGUUUAUGGUUACGUGCUACGAUCAAAUUCGCCUGUCUUGGAUUUUUAAUCGAUAAAGAAACAUGGUGUAGUAAUCGAUUCAAAAGAAGGAAAAACAGUCGAGCGUUUAGCGUUGUGCAAAUAUCGCGAAAGAUCUACGAAUUGUUUUCGAAACGCAAGCCACGAUGACUCUGGAAUCGCAGAGACUUUCUGUCGACUCAGCGUCCUUGCGAGAUACCGUUGCCAGAAAUGGACUAAUAAUAUAAAUUAAACACCCACUGACGUUAUUACAUCAGAAUGUGAAAAUAACAAAGAAUGGAGAGGGGGAGGGAUUUUUC